rnacentral:rRNA from 1 species
CUGGCGGCGCGCUUAACACAUGCAGGUCGAACGGGGUACUUAGAGUUGAUCUCUUCGGAGUGAAACCCUUUGUUACCUAGUGGCGGACGGGUGAGUAACACAUGGGUAACCUGCCCUUAGGAUUGGGAUACUCCCGGGAAACCGGGCACAAUACCGAAUACCAUUGCGAAUUUAUUUUUCGUAAUGAAAACUGCGAGCAAUCGUGGUGCCUAAGGAUGGGCCCGUGGCCUAUCAGCUUGUUGGUGAGGUAAUGGCUCACCAAGGCUAAGACGGGUAGCCGGACUGAGAGGUCGAUCGGCCACACUGGAACUGAGACACGGUCCAGACUCCUACGGGAGGCAGCAGUGGAGAAUUUUGCGCAAUGGGCGAAAGCCUGACGCAGCGACGCCGCGUGGGGGAAGAAGGCCUUCGGGUUGUAAACUCCUUUAGUACGGGAAGAAGCCUUCGGGUGACGGUACCGUAAGAAUAAGCCACGGCUAACUCUGUGCCAGCAGCCGCGGUAAUACAGAGGUGGCAAGCGUUGUUCGGAUUUACUGGGCUUAAAGGGCGUGUAGGCGUCCCGAUCAGUCAGAUGUGGAAGCCCUGGGCUUAACCCAGGAAGUGCAUUUGAAACUGUCGGGAUUGAGUCAUGCAAGGGAGGGCGGAAUUCCUGGUGUAGCGGUGAAAUGCGUAGAUAUCAGGAGAAGGCCGGUGGUGAAGACGGCCCUCUAGGCAAUGACUGACGCUGAGGCGCGAAAGCGUGGGGAGCAAACAGGAUUAGAUACCCUGGUAGUCCACGCCCUAAACGGUGCGUACUAGGUGUGGGUGGCGAUAGUCAUCCGUGCCGUAGGGAAACCAUUAAGUACGCCGCCUGGGGAGUACGGCCGCAAGGUUGAAACUCAAAUGAAUUGACGGGGGCCCGCACAAGCGGUGGAGCAUGUGGUUUAAUUCGACGCUACGCGCAGAACCUUACCUAGGCUUGACAUGUUAGUGGUAGGAACCCGAAAGGGUGACGACCUACUCUUCGGAGUGGGAGCUUUCACAGGUGCUGCAUGGCUGUCGUCAGCUCGUGCCGUGAGGUGUUGGGUUAAGUCCCGCAACGAGCGCAACCCUCAUCAUCUGUUGCCCUUAACGGGGCUCUCUGAUGAAACUGCCGGCGAAGAGCUGGAGGAAGGUGGGGAUGACGUCAAGUCCGCAUGGCCCUUAUACCUAGGGCUACACACGUGCUACAAUGGCAGAUACAAAGGGUGGCCAAGCCGCGAGGUGGAGCCAAUCUCAUAAAGUCUGUCCAAGUUGGGAUCGGAGUCUGCAAUUCGACUCCGUGAACCUGGAAUCGCUAGUAAUCGUGGAUCAGAACGCCACGGUGAAUACGUUCCCGGGCCUUGUACACACCGCCCGUCACACCACGAAAGUCUGUUGUACCCGAAGUGGGUGAGCCAACCAGCAAUGGAGGCAGCUUCCUAAGGUAUGGCCGGUAAUUGGGGUGAAGUCGAACAAGGUA